GCUCAGAAAUUCCCCAUGUAGGAGAAGUGCUAAGGGAAGCGCCACACCUCAUCUCCUGCGCCCCUGGGCUCCAGCCAGGGCUGGGGCGGGGCUUCCUGAGCCCCAGCUAUGGGGUUGCUCGGUGAUUGACCUCCCAGUGUCUGGCUCAAACCCAGUGGGGGCAGGAGGGAGUCUACAGGCUGGAGGGGCGGCAGGAACCAUCACUUGGCCCGCCCUCUGUGGCCCAACGCCCUCCACCCUCCCCAGGUGCUCCAGCCUCAGCCCGAGGGUCGCUGAGCCCCACUUUCCCUCCUGAUUCCAUGUUCAGCUCUUCCUACACAGCAGCCUCUCUGGUUUUCCGUUGCCCACACAUGGGCCCGAGGGUCCUGGCUGGGACGCCCUGUCCCUUCCCAUGCACCUGCUCAGUGAGACAGCUCUGCUUCUGGCACAGACGCACUUGGCCUAUUCCACUCGCCACACUGGGUCACGCUGCCCCUUGUGCUCAGCGCAGCCGCCCAACCUUCCUGCAUGUGUGUCGGUUUUCCCCAGCUGCCCAUCUCCCUUCACAGUUCCAUCCACACGCUGCUCUCCUGGACCCCAGGGGAGGAAAGUUCAAGUGCACCGACGCCUCUCUGAAUGUGCGUGGGGGGCGGUCUCUGUGCAGACGUGCCAGCGGCCCUGCAGCAUCAGCAGGAGCCUGGUAGCAGCCCGCAUCGUCCUCCUGAAUUGCCUGAGAACCUCUGGUUUUCUUGCUUUGAGACUAUUAGCUGCCCACUCGCCCUCCCUCCCCUUUCUGUGUCCAGUCCUCCGAAGAGGAGCCCGUUUCUGGGUUGCUUUAGCAGCUGCAGCACUCCCUUGAAGUGCCCAAGGGAGCCACUGGCAAGCAGGACAGGAAACAGAACUCUAGAUGUGGAGGAUUACACAUGUAAAACUGGGGCUCAGGCACACAGGCUAUGUGCCCUUAGUGGCAGAGUGAGAGGGGGUAACCCCAGGCCGCUGGCCCCUCCUCCUAGAAAGGCCGUCUCCCUGACCAGGAGGGUGCACUUCCAGGGGCUGUAUUCCUGGGCUCCUGGGUAGGCUCCCGGAACGCCCUGGGUCCUGGAGGGGACCUGAUGCCAGCAGAGCCCUUGACCUUCCCUGGCUCUAAGUGGCACUUCAAGCCUCUUCUCAUUACGCAGUUAUGCUGCAGCUCCCGAGGGUGGCCAGGAGCAGCUGUGACAUCUCCAGCUGUCCCAGCUGAUGGGAGGGGCUCCCGUGGCCUCGCUCCUGGAAGGCUGACACGCUGUCAGUGGACAGGGCUCCGAGCCCCAGCCGUGCCUGAAUUUAUCCUGGGAAGGUGGGCUGUGAAUCCAGAGGGAAGGCAGGAAGUUUGCAGGCAUUGACUUGUCAUGGUCACAUCUGUGAGACCCUGGGAAGACACAACCCUCUCCAUAGCUCAGCGUCCAGAUCUGUGGGGCCGUGAACUGAGGGAUUAGACAGACAACGCAGGCAGAGCAUCUGGCCUGGCCCCUGGCACAUCGCAGGUGAGUUUCUUGCUCCCAUGAACCCCGCGGUGGGCAGGCCACUCCCCGAUGUCUGUUGGGUUUCAUGCAGGCUCAGGAACACUGCCCUUCAGUAGCUAAGUCUUUAUCGAGUGGCCGCUCAGAGGCCAGGCCAGAGCCCUUGUGCCAGUUUGAUGGCACUGCUUGCUUGAUACCCCAAAUGAGAUGAGUGUUUGGCCUCCUGUGAAUGUCAGCACACCUGUGGCCUGUCCAAGUGAGGAGGGCCGAUGGCCCCCCCACAGGGAAGCCAGGGCUUCCUGCAGGCCCAGUGCCUGACUGUGACAUGAGCUUAGGACUCUGAUCAGGUGAGCGAAGCUUCUGACAACCCGGCACUUGGGGACUACAGAGGAUGAGGCUUCUGGGGGCAGCUGUGGUGGCUCAGCUCACUGAGUUGUUUCACAUAGAUGCCCACCGAGAGCCAGGGCUCAGGAGAAACGUCCAGGUGGGGGCUCUCUUUGCCACCAGCUGCCCUUGCCAGCCGAAGGCCUUCCCAAGGAAGAUAGCUUCACCAUGUCACCAGUGCCUGGAUAUUGCAGAGAGAUUCCUAUGAAAUGAAAUCCGCAAACUGAAAACAAAUAACUAGAUUCCAUGUAAAAUUAGAGGCAUGUGCCAAGAGGUCAUGAGAAAAGCUUCCUGGUGGAAAGCCCUUGGCCAGAGGUGGAAAUGGAAGUUGAUCCCAUUUAUAACCUGCAGAUGCUGUGGGUUACACUUUGUAGCCACCAAGAAGGUGGGACUUUUUGUCCCUACCCAGCAGUUCACUCUCUGUUCUAGCACUUUCUUAACUCUGGAGGCUCCUUUCUGAAUGCUCUGCUUUUCUUUGACUUCCCCUCAGUCCCCUCUGCUAAGGGAUUUUCUGGGUGAUACCCACAUCUCUCUCCUUCACUGAUUACAGCUUCCAGCCUAAGCUGCAGUCAUUUUUCUCUCUACCUGGUGGGCUAUCGUCAAGAUUUAUUUUAACUUCAAUUGCAGAAUUUGAGACAAUGCCAGGGAUCACUAAGAUCGAGGCCUAUUUAGUGUGCUUAUGAUGAAGACUCUUUUCAGGGGAGAUGUUUCAACCACUUAAGGAGUCAUUUCUUAGGGCCUGUCCUUGCAUAGCCACAGCCGAUAAGCCCCUAAUCCCGCAGCACACACGGCACGGGGAGAGGAAGUAAGAGUUGAAGUUCAAGAGGCAGCUCGUGGGCCCUGCAUUUGAACCACAGGUGCCCAGGACCUGGCUCUGGGGAUUUAUGCAGAUCACUUACAGGCAGGCGGAUGAUUUCAGUGUAAUUACUGUGUAAUUAAUUCACAAGGUUUUAAAAUGAAGAAAAUACAUACUAACAAUAACGUAGUUUGAACUUCCCGCCAACCCCAGUGAGGUCCAGUAUUGCAUGGGCAGGGCAGUGCCAGGUGCCCAGGGUGCUGCCCCGAGGGAUUCGUCGUGAGCUCGGAGUAG
rnacentral:lncRNA from 9 species